AUGGGUAUGGGAUGGAAAGUUAUGAACGAUGUGAAGCCAUACCUAGCGAUGGUGCUGCUGCAGGUGGGGUUCGCCGGGAUGAACAUCGUUGCCGUGUCAUCCCUCAAGGGCGGGAUGAGCCACUUCGUCCUCGUCGUCUACCGUAACAUCGUCGCCACCGCCUUCAUGGCGCCCUUCGCCCUCUAUUUCGAGAGGGAACGGAGGCCAAAGAUGACAACCACCAUCUCUACUCCUAAUUACCCAGUUGGUAGUCUCGCUUUCAGGUUUUUUAUAGUCCCACCUCCCACGGUUUAUUUUGGUACCUCCUCCCACCUCUUCCUAAAACAUCAAAAACCGAAAAAACCUCCUCCUAAGGCCCGAACCCGCACCUAUCCACGUGCGACCCUCAAUAGACGUACGAAGGUAAACCUGCGACAAAAAAGAAAACUACGACGGUUAACCAGCGACGAGUCCUGUUCUCAAGUGAGGCCUACCUUCCUGGCCGCCCUACGUAUCCCUUCGUACCCGUCCAUCCUCGCUGCCCUACGUAUCCCUUCGCUGCCCUCCAUCCUCGCCGCCCUCCAUCCUGGUCAAGGUCGCCGCCCCGCUUCACUCGCCGUCCUCCAUCCGCGUCGAUCCUGGACAAGGUCGCCGCGGCCCUCCAUCACUUCGCCGCCGCGCUGA
rnacentral:rRNA from 1 species